UCUUCAUCUCACACACUCUCUCGCCUCUCUGACAGGUGAGAAAGUGUGGAAUAGGAAGAGA
rnacentral:pre_miRNA from 1 species